rfam:Erinaceus europaeus unplaced genomic scaffold scaffold00465, whole genome shotgun sequence
AUCUGAUCUGGUUUCUCUAUGUAUACAAGCUUAUAUGAAUAGCCAGACCUGUCCCUCCCUUGCCUGAGGUCCUGUCCAGUUCAGUUCUCUGGUCCCUGGCUGACAGGCACCAG